GCGUCAAUCAGAGGCGCUGUAGUGCAUCACGUGCCAAGUCGAGUCCCGCCCCACCAUGGCAGCCAAAUCGGGCGGGGCGACGUUGUCACCGUUCGGCGCUGACGUGUCCCGCGCGUGUCACUCCACGUUCGCGAGCGCCUGCGCAUUGCCCCGGAAGCAAGAUGGCAGCCCCCAGCGGAGGCUUCUGGACUGCGGUGGUCCUGGCGGCCGCAGCGCUGAAAUUGGCCGCCGCUGUGUCCGAGCCCACCACCGUGCCAUUUGACGUGAGGCCCGGAGGGGUCGUGCAUUCGUUCUCCCAGGACGUAGGACCCGGGGUACGUGCUAAGCCUCCUGCCCGGGAAUCGAUGCCUAUGGACUUCCGAUCAGGUGGUCCUGGAGACCGGGUGGAGUGGCAGAGGCAGGGUUACCUGAAGAAGGGACCUGGCUGCCUCGUCUGUCUUCUGUCAGUCACUCCCUACCUGCAAGGCGACUUCCCCUUGCCCAUCUCAUUGUAGAAAAGGGAAUACUGGUUGAUAAGAGCAGCGGAUCUAGGGGACUGGCUAUACAGGUCGCACGUGGGUUACUCACUGAACCCGGACUAGAGCGGGAGCACCCCCCAAGCCUUACACGAGUCCAUCACCUCUCCUUUCAGCGAGCCAGCAGUCAGCCUAGCCUCUGCCCGCCCCAGCUUGGCUUCUGGGACAGCGGUGUCCCUAGUGACCAUUUCUUGAGACCAUUACUAUAGUCCUGUGCUUUCUGGCAGGUUUGUGUUGUGGGCAGGAAGCAGUACAAGCUUGUAUCUAACAGGAGCCCCGAGUACUGACCUCAUAGGUGAUGUUCUAGGGAUGAUUGCUGAAGGCCAUUUGACCUUCCUAGGAAAUCACAGUGAUUUGAGCAAAGUUCUGAGCUCCUGAGAUUUCUAUUACAAGGAGAGCGGCACUGACACCACCCAAGUCUAGAGGGACCUCAAGGAUGCUACUCAGUGAGAGACAGAGACACAAGUCACGCUGUGGGA
rnacentral:lncRNA from 1 species